GCUACAUGGAACAAGAUGUAUACAAUAUCCUGCUGCGAAUCCUCAGCAGGCAGGAGAAGAGGGGCAGCGCGGGCCCUGAGGGGUCCGGGAUUCCUCUCCUGGAGUAAGAGCACCCCUGGCUGCCAGAGGCUCCAUCAGGCUGUAGUGGGUGGGAGGUUGGCCAUUAGGGAUAGUGUGGGUGAGCUUUGCCUGACAUGAGGGAGCCCAGACCUGAGAAUCGGAACCCUGGAAUCAGCAUGGAUGAAACCAGAGGACGUACGGAUGGAAGCCAGCUCUGUAACAAAUAAAGCAGGGGCAAUACGAUA